rnacentral:rRNA from 1 species
GAUGAACGCUAGCGGUGCGCCUAACACAUGUAAGUCGUGCGAUCGAGCCGAACGGAGUUCUUUCGGGAACGAAGAUUGGUGACGGAGCGGCGGACGGGUGAGUAACACGUGGCUAACCUACCCUCUUGACGGGGACAACCACCCGAAAGGGCGGCAAAUACCCGAUAUUGUCUGGAACCGAUGGGUUCCUUUCCAAAGGCGGUCCUGCCGCCGCAAGGGGAUGGGGCUGCGUCCUAUUAGCUAGUUGGUGAGGUAAUGGCCCACCAAGGCUGUGAUGGGUAGCUGGUCUGAGAGGACGGCCAGCCACAUUGGGACUGAGAUACGGCCCAGACUCCUACGGGAGGCAGCAGUGGGGAAUCUUGGCCAAUCAACGAAAGUUGGAGCCAGCGACACCGCGUGAGGGAUGAAGGCC